rnacentral:lncRNA from 1 species
AAUAAAUAGAGUUUUCCAAAUACAAAUUAAGUACAGUGGUGAUGGGGUGUGACAUCCCACCACCCUAGAAAAAUUUGGUCCCCAAGUUUGUCUCAAACAGGUUCGGAAACUUUUCCCUCAUCUCGCUUUCCAGCUCCCACAUUGUUUCUUUUAGGGUAUGAUGUUGCCACCACAUCUUCACCAUGGGAAUCGUCUUGUUGCGCAAGACCUUGUUAGUCCAUCUAAGAAUCUUCACGGAGAUCUCUUCAUACGUCAUAUCAGCUUGUAUCUUCGUUUCAUCAUGAGGAAUGAUAUGAAAAAGGUUAGGGUGGUACCUUUUGAGCCUCGAGACGUAGAAAAUAUGAUGCAAACCCGUAAACCCUUGGGGUAGAGUAAGGCACUAUGCCAUGGGUCCAAUGCAUUCAACGAUCCGAAAAGGUCCUACAUAACAUGGGCUUAACUUCCCUCUUUUUCCAAACUGCAUCUUUCUUUUGUAGGAAAAAACUUUGAGAAAAAUUUGGUCUCUA